AGCCCGCUCAAGAACUACAAAGGAUUGACGGGGCCCGCACAAGCGGUGGAGCAUGUGGUUUAAUUCGAUGAUACGCGAGGACCUUACCAGGGCUUGACAUACACUGGAAUGGGCGUGAAAGCGUCCAGCCCCUCGGGGCCGGUGUACAGGUGCUGCAUGGCUGUCGUCAGCUCGUGCUGUGAAGUGUUGGGUUAAGUCCCGCAACGAGCGCAACCCUAUUGCUAGUUACCAUCAUUAAGUUGGGGACUCUAGCGAGACUGCCAGUGAUAAACUGGAGGAAGGUGGGGAUGACGUCAAAUCAUCAUGCCCCUUAUGACCUGGGCUACAAACGUGAUACAAUGGCUGGAACAAAGGGAUGCGAAGCAGUGAUGUGGAGCGAAACCCAUAAAAACAGUCUCAGUUCGGAUUGAAGUCUGCAACUCGACUUCAUGAAGUCGGAAUCGCUAGUAAUCGCGGAUCAGAACGCCGCGGUGAAUACGUUCUCGGGGUUU
rnacentral:rRNA from 1 species